AGAGUUCGAUCCUGGCUCAGGAUGAACGCUGGCGGCGCGCCUAACACAUGCAAGUCGAACGAUUAAAGCACCUUCGGGUGUGUAUAAAGUGGCGAACGGCUGAGUAACACGUGGGCAACCUGCCCCUCUCAUUGGGAUAGCCACGGGAAACCGUGGAUAAUACCGAAUACUUCGAGACCUCCGCAUGGAAGACUCGAGAAAGCUCCGGCGGAGAGGGAUGGGCCCGCGGCCUGUUAGCUUGUUGGUGGGGUAACGGCCUACCAAGGCAAUGAUGGGUAGCUGGGUUGAGAGACCGACCAGCCAGAUUGGGACUGAGACACGGCCCAGACUCCUACGGGAGGCAGCAGUGGGGAAUCUUGCACAAUGGGCGAAAGCCUGAUGCAGCGACGCCGCGUGCGGGAUGAAGGCCUUCGGGUUGUAAACCGCUUUCAGCAGGGACGAGGCGAAAGUGACGGUACCUGCAGAAGAAGCCCCGGCUAACUACGUGCCAGCAGCCGCGGUAAUACGUAGGGGGCAAGCGUUAUCCGGAUUCAUUGGGCGUAAAGCGCUCGUAGGCGGUCUGUUAGGUCGGGAGUUAAAUCCGGGGGCUCAACCCCCGUUCGCUCCCGAUACCGGCAGACUUGAGUUUGGUAGGGGAAGGUGGAAUUCCUAGUGUAGCGGUGGAAUGCGCAGAUAUUAGGAAGAACACCAGUGGCGAAGGCGGCCUUCUGGGCCAUAACUGACGCUGAGGAGCGAAAGCUAGGGGAGCAAACAGGAUUAGAUACCCUGGUAGUCCUAGCCGUAAACGAUGGACACUAGGUGUGGGGGAAUACUUCUUCCGUGCCGCAGCUAACGCAUUAAGUGUCCCGCCUGGGGAGUACGGCCGCAAGGCUAAAACUCAAAGGAAUUGAC
rnacentral:rRNA from 1 species